rnacentral:rRNA from 1 species
UGGUGCAUGGUUGUCGUCAGCUCGUGUCGUGAGAUGUUGGGUUAAGUCCCGCAACGAGCGCAACCCUACUUGCUAGUUACCAUCAUUAAGUUGGGGACGUCUAGCGAGACUGCCAGUGAUAAACUGGAGGAAGGUGGGGAUGACGUCAAAUCAUCAUGCCCCUUAUGACCUGGGCUACAAACGUGAUACAAUGGCUGGAACAAAGGGAUGCGAAGCAGUGAUGUGGAGCGAAACCCAUAAAAACAGUCUCAGUUCGGAUUGAAGUCUGCAACUCGACUUCAUGAAGUCGGAAUCGCUAGUAAUCGCGGAUCAGAACGCCGCGGUGAAUACGUUCUCGGGGUUU